GACUACUGGGGUAUCUAAGCCCGUUCGCUCCCCUGGCUUUCGUGCCUCAGCGUCAGUUAUUCCCCAGUGUGCCGCUUUCGCCUCCGGUGUUCCUGCCAAUAUCAACACAUUUCACCGUUCCACUGGCAGUUCCGCACACCCCUGAAAUACUCUAGCGGUUCAGUUUCAAACGCAAUGCCUCAGUUGAGCUCAGGCAUUUCACAUCUGACUUGAAUCGCCGCCUACGCACCCUUUAAGCCCAGUGAUUCCGAAUAACGUUCGCACAGUACGUGUUACCGCGGCUGCUGGCACGUACUUAGCCCGUGCUUCCUUUGAGGCUCUGUCAACUUCGGAGGAGUACCUCCGAAGAUUUCAUCCCCUCUGACAGCGGUUUACAACCCAAGGGCCUUCAUCCCGCACGCGGCGUCGCUCCGUCAGACUUUCGUCCAUUGCGGAAGAUUCUCGACUGCAGCCCCCCGUAGG
rnacentral:rRNA from 1 species